rnacentral:rRNA from 1 species
UUGAACGCUGGCGGCCUGCUUUACCCAUGCCAGUCGAACGGCAGCGCGGGCUUCGGCCUGGCGGCGAGUGGCGAACGGGUGAGUACUACCUCGGAACGUGCCCAGUAGUGGGGGAUAGCUCGGCGAAAGCCGGAUUAAUACCGCAUACGACCUGAGGGUGAAAGAGGGGGAUCUUCGGACCUCGCGCUGUUGGAGCGGCCGAUGGCAGAUUAGCUAGUUGGGGGGGUAAAGGCCUACCAAGGCGACGAUCUGUAGCUGGUCUGAGAGGACGACCAGCCACACUGGGACUGAGACACGGCCCAGACUCCUACGGGAGGCAGCAGUGGGGAAUUUUGGACAAUGGGCGAAAGCCUGAUCCAGCAAUGCCGCGUGUGUGAUGAAGGCCUUCGGGUUGUAAAGCACUGUUGGCGGGAACGAAAAGGACUGUGCCAAUACCACGGUUCGAUGACGGUACCCGCAGAAGAAGCACCGGCUAACUACGUG